rnacentral:rRNA from 1 species
UGAGGAAUAUUGGUCAAUGGUCGGGAGACUGAACCAGCCAAGCCGCGUGAGGGAUGAAGGUACAGAGUAUCGUAAACCUCUUUUGUCAGGGAACAAAAGGCGCCACGCGUGGCGCUCCGAGUGUGCCUGAAGAAAAAGCAUCGGCUAACUCCGUGCCAGCAGCCGCGGUAAUACGGAGGAUGCGAGCGUUAUCCGGAUUUAUUGGGUUUAAAGGGUGCGUAGGCGGCGAGUUAAGUCAGCGGUAAAAGCCCGGGGCUCAACCCCGGCCCGCCGUUGAAACUGGCUUGCUUGAGUUGGAGAGAAGUAGGCGGAAUGCGCGGUGUAGCGGUGAAAUGCUUAGAUAUCGCGCAGAACUCCGAUUGCGAAGGCAGCCUACCGGCUCCAGACUGACGCUGAGGCACGAAAGCGUGGGUAUCGAACAGGAUUAGAUACCC